rnacentral:rRNA from 1 species
GAUGAACGCUGGCGGCGUGCCUAAUACAUGCAAGUCGAGCGAACAGAUGAGAAGCUUGCUUCUCUGAUGUUAGCGGCGGACGGGUGAGUAACACGUGGGUAACCUACCUAUAAGACUGGGAUAACUCCGGGAAACCGGGGCUAAUACCGGAUAAUAUUUUGAACCGCAUGGUUCAAUAGUGAAAGACGGUUUCGGCUGUCACUUAUAGAUGGACCCGCGCCGUAUUAGCUAGUUGGUAAGGUAACGGCGUACCAAGGCGACGAUACGUAGCCGACCUGGGAGGGUGAUCUGCCACACUGGAACUUAGACACGGUCGAGACGCCUACGGGAGGCAGCAGUAGGGAAUCGUCCGCAAUGUGCGAAAGCCUGACGGAGCAACGCCGCGUGAGUGAUGAAGGUCUUCGGAUCGUAAAACUCUGUUGUUAGGGAAGAACAAAUUUGUUAGUAACUGAACAAGUCUUGACGGUACCUAACCAGAAAGCCACGGCUAAGUACGUGCAAGCCGCCGCGGUAA